CGGGGUGCACCAGGCGCGAAAACUUUACAAUGCUGGCAACAGCGAUAAGGGGACCUCGAGUGCCAGGAUACAAUCUUGGCUGUCGCGAUGCCUAAAAAGCAUUGCAUAGCAAGGGCCGGGCAAGACCGGUGCCAGCCGCCGCGGUAACACCGGCGGCUCGAGUGGUAACCGCUAUUAUUGGGUCUAAAGGGUCUGUAGCCGGCCGGAUAAGUCUUUUGGGAAAUCCAGCUGCUCAACAGUUGGGCUUUCAGAAGAUACUGUUCGGCUCGAGACCGGGAGAGGUGAGAGGUACUUCAGGGGUAGGGGUGAAAUCUUGUAAUCCUUGAAGGACCACCAGUGGCGAAGGCGUCUCACCAGAACGGAUCUGACGGCAAGGGACGAAAGCUAGGGGCACGAACCGGAUUAGAUACCCGGGUAGUCCUAGCCGUAAACGAUACUCGCUAGGUGUCAGCCACGGUGCGACCGUGGUUGGUGCCGUAGGGAAGCCGUGAAGCGAGCCACCUGGGAAGUACGGCCGCAAGGCUGAAACUUAAA
rnacentral:rRNA from 1 species